rnacentral:lncRNA from 1 species
ACAACAUUCUGCUCCACCCAUGACUUACCCUGCAGCAAGUGCUCCACCACCUGGUGGUGCACCUGUGGUCCGACCACCUGGCCAGAUGCCUCCUGGACCAUAUCCUGGUCAGGGUCCACCAAUGGGUCGGGGUCCACCACCACCAGGUCCACUACAAUUUUCUGCUAGGCCCCCCCAGGGUUUCCCAAUGCCACCACAGUUUGCCCAGAGACCAAUGGGAAUGCCACCCCAGGGACAGGCACCAAUGAUGAGAGGACCACCUGCUCCACCAAGACCUGGAAUGCCUGCACCACCUCCACCCCGUCCUGGGAUGCCACCUCCACCUGGUGGUCAUGUUCCUGUUUUUGGACCACCUCGUCCGGGAAUGCCGCCACCUCCCAAUGCCCAACAGCAGCAGAAUCAGCAACAAUAGAUUUAGGUAUGCCUUCUUUUGAUAUCUGGA